rnacentral:rRNA from 1 species
GGGAACACUUCUUAGAGGGACUCUCGGCAUAUCUAGCCGAUGGAAGUUUGAGGCAAAAACAGGUCUGUGAUGCCCUUAGAUGCCCUGGGCUGCACGCGCGUUACACUGACGAUUGCAACAAGUCUUUUUAUUCCUGGUCCGAUGGGAUUGGGUAAGCUUUGAAAAGAUCGUCGUGAUGGGGAUUGAACCUUGCAAUUAUUGUUCAUGAACGAGGAAUUCCUAGUAGGCGCAGUUCAUCAAACUGCGCCGAUUACGUCCCUGCCCUUUGUACACACCGCCCGUCGCUCCUACCGAUUGAAUGGAAGGGC